GCUUGGUUCAACAUCAGCUGUCAGUGAGCAUCAGACUAAAACCGCUCACAGCAUCCACUGGGAAGAGGUCAAAAGUCAUUGACCAGGAGUCAGUGGAUGGCUGGAGAAAGGAGGGCUUUCACAUCUGAUGCCAGAGACUAUCUUUGAACAGAGGCAGAGGGUACCAUCUCCCCCAUGUACAACUACCUGUUAUGAUGUGAGCAAAGCUCCAUGCUUACAGUAAGUCUAAACCAUGUACAUGACAACUUUUAAAUCUAAAUUCUAAAUCUUGCUUUCCACGUAAUUAAAAAAGCACACAACAGAUGGUCAUUUUGGUGUAAUCUAAGGUACAGUAAAUAGGCCAAUCAAGUUUUUAGUCCAAUCUUUUUAUGACCAGCAGAUGGGGCUGUUGCAUUAAGCAACAAACAUGCCGACAACUGUCCAGCUGUUGUGUUAUUUUGAGUCAGGGCAGCAGGGCAAAUUUGAUAUCCAAUGCUGCAAUUUAAUUUACUGAAAGAUUAUAUAAAUGCUAGAUUCACACAACCCCUCCUACCAUCCCAGACAAGCUGCUUUUGUAUGUAUUGUAGGUUUAAACAUGGAUCUUUUUAAAGGUAUUUUUCCUUUAUUUGAUACAUGACAGUAUGUAGAUAGACAAACAGGAAAUGUCGGGACAACGCGAGGGGGGAUGACAUGCAACAAAGGUUACCAGUCAGAAUCAAACCAGGGACAUUGUGAUUACACAUGCACCUUAGACAUCUAGGCUAUUCACCUUAAAGAUGAAAUAUUCUCUUGGUGGGACAGCUAGAGAUUGUUACGUAGAACGUGAGGCGGAAAUGGAGUCAGAGGAGGAAUCAGAGCGCGAAAUUAGAAACGAGGAUUCGAGAGGAUUUGAAAAUAAAAAGAAAAGGAAGAAGAGUAACUCAAGUGAAUCCGGUCAGAAAGAGGAAAAGUAUCUUGUUGGGAUGAUAGCUGUGACACAAACAGACGGCAUUUUCAAGAAUCCACAUGAGGUCGGAAAGUUUGUAGGAGGAAAGCUCGGAGAUGUCAGAUAACAGGAUAACAAGAAGUGGGAUGGUUAUCAUUGAAUGUGUGUCAAGCGUCAGAGAGAUAAAGCCCUGAAGAUUCAUGCAUUUGGAGAUUAUAGCAGUGUGGACUGCUUCCCACUCGGACCAGAAGUAAAAAAGAAGGGAGUAGUAAGCGGCGUGCCACUGUCGGUGGAGGCCGAGUCAUUUCGGGAGGUUGAAGGUGUGUGUGAGGCAAGAAGGGUGACAAGAUUCAAAAAUGGGGAGAAGGAGGACAGUAACUCAGUGUGUUUGACUUUUGAGGGGGAAUUCCCAGAGAGAGAUUAUGUGUGCUACAGGGUGAGGCCGUAUAAGAGAGCGCCUCUCAGAUGUUUCUGCUGUCAGGAAUAUGGACAUGUUGCGGCAGUAUGUAGAGGAGGCAGAAGAUGUGGGAGAUGUGGGAAGGACAAUUGUAAUGUGGAGAAGUGUAAAGUGGAGAAAGAGCAAGCAAAGUGCCUGCACUGCGAGGGAAACCACUAUACGGGAUCAGCACAAUGUCCAAAAAGAAUUAAGGAAAUGAAAAUGAAUAAGAUCAGAGCGGAAAAGGGAUUGUCAUAUGCGGAAGCUGUUAAGAGUAUGGAGAGAAACGGUGAAAGGGUGGUAGUUCAAAAGGAAAAGGAGAAGAAAGGAAAUGGAGCAAAACAUCAGUAUGGACAAGAAGCGAUUUCUGGCAUUUAUUGCCAUGGUUAUAAACUGUGCGGCUAAAAUGAAGGGGAAGUCAGAAAGGAUUAAGAUGGUGCUGGAUGCGGCAAGAAGAUUCUUGAAUGUUGUGGACAUAUCUGGAGAGGAUCUGGAUGUUACACUGAGGGAAGGAGUUGCACCAACUCAGACAAUGGGGUCUGGGUUAUAGAAUUGACUAUGGCAUGGGAUCACGUUGGGUGGACACUGUUAAAAGUUUAAACUGUGAAGCUGUUAAAAUUCAGUAGGUGGCGGUAAUGCGUAAUUAGGGACGCCAACUGCCAUAAAACACAACAGAAGAAGAAGAAGAAGAAGAAAUAUUCUCUCAUUUCUUAUUCUUUUAGUUUAUUUUUUAAUAUUUGUAUUGGUUUUUGUAUCUUCCCUCAGUUUCUCGCCAUCCCCUCUGCCCUUACACACAGAAACACAUACAGAGUCAUGAUUGACACAGACACUCCCACAUACAACUAUACUCAUUUGCAGUGCAAAGAGAAUAUCUAACUAACUACUCUUAAUUCAAUACCUCCCAAUAACUUACUAAAAUGUUUUUUUCCCCUGUCUUUCUUUUUGGCUUGUUUCUUAUCUUGUUUACCUCCAGCAUGGACAAUGUGCACUUAUGUUUUCUUCACUUGUCUUCUGUUUGGGUCAUGUAGCCUAUGGGUCAAAAAAAAGAACAUUUGAAAAUUUUGAAUCAGAAUAAAACCCUGCACAGUAUUAGAUAUUUGUGGUCCCCAGAUUAUGAGGUUUAAUGUUUUUGUUUACCCUCUGACCAUGUAUCUAGUGCCACCUCAGAACAGCCCCACUCAGAUAUGAGCUUAGCAAAACUGUCGGUAUGUUGUUUGUUCUAAUAUUGUUGGGUGUAGUAAACAUUACAGCUUCUUUGGGACACUAGUGAGACUUUAGUUUUGUUAUUUUCACAAACUUUAACACCUGUCAUUAGUCAGAAGUGCUUACCAUGAGCUUACCCACUGAGAAGACAUGCAACCCAUUCUAGAGGAAACCAUGUUCCUACAGCUCGGGGAAACAAAGAGGUGCUGGAACACCUUCACACUGAUAAUCCAGGUCCUUUAUAUCAGGCACCAGGGAUGACACGAGAAAGACCCUGAAUGUCCCAGCUGUCCACUUUUUAUGAGACUGUAAAGAAAUGAGGACUGCAGAAAAUUAAAAAUGUUGUCUUUCUUUCCCUCUCCCUGUGAUAGUCAGCCACCUUAUCCUCCCCAUCCCUGUGAGCUCUUUUGUUCUCUCCUCUCCUUGUGAUUCUUGUGUGUCCUCGGCUCGUCUCUAGAUGUGUAUGUGUGUGUGUAUGUCUUCUGGUCUGGCUCCGUGGUUUCCCGCCUACUGCUGAUCACCGGCUCACCUGUCUUCAAUCAACCAAAAGUCUCCACAGCUUAAAUACCAGGCUCACCCACACCACCAGCGCCAAAUCGACUCCGUACACUUGUACGACCAUUAAGGCAAGGCAAGGCGCAUCGCUUAAAGAAAAUGUCGGCUGAACUGGUGGUCUAUCGGAACUCCUGCUCGUCCUCUAUCUCCGCUUGCCUGCACACCUCCACCGCCUCCGACAUCUACUGUUCUGCGCGAACAUCUGUCAUCUCAGCCAUCCUGGUCACCUCCAUCAUCCCUGCAGUCCUGGGUACUUAUCUCAACACCACCACCUCCUCCUCUAUCUCCGCCUCCUCCAUCUCUGUCGGUCCGUACACCUCCAUCAUCUCCACCUCCUAUCGACUUACAAGAGGCAAGCGGAGACGUGGUUAGUGACCAGACGGACAGUGUCGGCGGUUUUCAUAGAUGGUGUUGUCUUUCAUCUUCUCAAUACUGUUUUGUACAAGCAUUGGAAGGAGUUCUGCUACGGCUGUCAGAUUAAUCACCCCAGCCAGAAACAUUGCGAGUGCGUGUUGGAGAUCCCUGAAUGGUUUUAUGACACUUUGAUCAGCUUAUGAAAAGACUCUGGACCAACAGGUUUAUUCCAUCCAUCCAGCGCUUCUUGAGUUCAAAUUACAUCCAUGUCGAUGAAGCCAUAGUCCAAGGUAUUGGAGAGACUGUUCUACAUUCUACGGUUCUUGGAUAAGAUCAAAGAAAUGUAUGACACCAUGAUCGGUGAGGACUUUGAGGAAAUUGUAACCAUACCCUAUAAUUUUUUUUCUUUUGUGUCAUGGGAAAUUGUUUGAGAGGUCUGUUUAGGGCCAUCAGGGUGCAGUACAUUGUGAGCUAACUGCCCUUCUAGAUCAGGCAAUUGAUAAGCAAGGUCACAAAGUACAAAAGCCAUGUCAAUCCGUCUGAUGUUUGUAGAUUAGAAAAAUUGAUGGAUGUAGUAAGAGCUCAGUCUUGUGCAAUCUUGUGGAAGAGGUGGUGCAACUGACACAACAACACAACAAUGAUUCAAAACUACAAAAACAACUACUAAACAAAAGUGUUGGAGAUUUUUUGUGCUGUAAUUAGGCAUACCAUAAAUUAUUUCAAUGUGAUAAAAGCGCAACACAUGCUUAUACUGUACACAUUGUUUGUAGAUGCCAUAAAUAUGUAUGUUCAAGAACAGCAAUGUGUUACAUUUAGUGUCAAGCAGACGGAAAUAUGGAAUGGGACCCAAACGCAGACUACAAGGCAGAGUAGGUGCAGAUAAAUCGUUUAAUGGUGUUCACAAUGCUUACAGGGGUCAUCAGGCAGGCAGAGAUCAGCAAACCAGGACAGCAGUCUGAACAGUCAAAUAAUUCCAAGAAGGGAGAAGACAAAAUCCAAAGACACACAACGAGUCCUAGAAAACACGAGGAACAAAGGCUGAGACACUUGACACCAGGUUCAACAAUGAUCUGACACAGAACAAAGGAAGACACACACGUGCAGAAGUACACACAGCUAGGGGAGCCAAGACACAGUUGAAACUGAUCAAGACACAGGUGAAAACAAUCAACGCAAUCAACUAAAAAAAUGACAACUAAAACACAUGAGGGAAGGAGACUAUUUCAAAAUAAAACUGUCAUGGUUUUGGG